GAGUUUGAUCGUGGCUCAGAUUGAACGCUGGCGGCAUGCCUUACACAUGCAAGUCGAACGGCAGCACGGGAGCUUGCUCCUGGUGGGCGAGUGGCGAACGGGUGAGUAAUGCAUCGGAACGUAUCCUGGAGUGGGGGAUAACGUAGCGAAAGUUACGCUAAUACCGCAUAUUCUGUGAGCAGGAAAGCGGGGGACCUUCGGGCCUCGCGCUCUUGGAGCGGCCGAUGUCGGAUUAGCUAGUUGGUGAGGUAAAGGCUCACCAAGGCGACGAUCCGUAGCAGGUCUGACGAGGAUGAUCUGCCACACUGGAACUGAGACACGGUCCAGACUCCUACGGGAGGCAGCAGU
rnacentral:rRNA from 1 species